rnacentral:rRNA from 1 species
UGGGGAAUUUUGGACAAUGGGCGAAAGCCUGAUCCAGCCAUGCCGCGUGAGUGAAGAAGGCCUUCGGGUUGUAAAGCUCUUUUAGUCGGAAAGAAAGAGUUGCAAUGAAUAAUUGUGAUUUAUGACGGUACCGACAGAAAAAGCACCGGCUAACUACGUGCCAGCAGCCGCGGUAAUACGUAGGGUGCGAGCGUUAAUCGGAAUUACUGGGCGUAAAGGGUGCGCAGGCGGUCUUGCAAGUCAGAUGUGAAAGCCCCGGGCUUACCCUGGGAAUUGCGUUUGAAACUACAAGGCUAGAGUGCAGCAGAGGGGAGUGGAAUUCCAUGUGUAGCAGUGAAAUGCGUAGAGAUGUGGAAGAACACCGAUGGCGAAGGCAGCUCCCUGGGUUGACACUGACGCUCAUGCACGAAAGCGUGGGGAGCAAACA